CGUGCCAGCAGCCGCGGUAAUACGGAGGAUCCAAGCGUUAUCCGGAUUUAUUGGGUUUAAAGGGUGCGUAGGCGGCCUAUUAAGUCAGGGGUGAAAGACGGUAGCUUAACUAUCGCAGUGCCUUUGAUACUGAUGGGCUUGAAUGGACUAGAGGUAGGCGGAAUGUGACAAGUAGCGGUGAAAUGCAUAGAUAUGUCACAGAACACCAAUUGCGAAGGCAGCUUACUAUGGUUUAAUUGACGCUGAGGCACGAAAGCGUGGGGAUCAAACAGGAUUAGAUACCCUGGUAGUCCACGCCCUAAACGAUGAACACUCGAUGUUAGCGAUAUACAGUUAGCGUCUAAGCGAAAGCGUUAAGUGUUCCACCUGGGGAGUACGCCCGCAAGGGUGAAACUCAAAGGAAUUGACGGGGGCCCGCACAAGCGGAGGAGCAUGUGGUUUAAUUCGAUGAUACGCGAGGAACCUUACCCGGGCUUGAAAGUUAGUGAAUGAUUCAGAGACGGAUCAGUCCUUCGGGACACGAAACUAGGUGCUGCAUGGCUGUCGUCAGCUCGUGCCGUGAGGUGUUGGGUUAAGUCCCGCAACGAGCGCAACCCCUAUGUUUAGUUGCCAGCAUUUAAGGUGGGGACUCUAAACAGACUGCCUACGCAAGUAGAGAGGAAGGAGGGGACGACGUCAAGUCAUCAUGGCCCUUACGUCCGGGGCUACACACGUGCUACAAUGGAUGGUACAGAGGGCAGCUACCUGGCAACAGGAUGCAAAUCUCUUAAAGCCAUUCACAGUUCGGAUCGGGGUCUGCAACUCGACCCCGUGAAGUUGGAUUCGCUAGUAAUCGCAUAUCAGCAAUGAUGCGGUGAAUACGUUCCCGGGCCUUGUACACACCGCCCGUC
rnacentral:rRNA from 1 species